rnacentral:lncRNA from 1 species
AGAACAAUGCACCACAAUACCGAGAAAAAAAUGUUCUCAAACCUUGAAACAACUCCUUCUACAACUUCUCAUAACCCUACUCAAACCUAACACAGCCAAAUAAUCCAAGCACGAAAACACACCCAAAACACCUGACAUAGAUAGCUCCAAUGGUAUGAGAGAGAACUAAUCUAGUGUUGAUGUCGUUGUUUGAAAGGACAACCUGAAGAUUGACGUCCCAGUCCAACAUGAUAGGACCAAUUACAUCCAUUGAACCAAAGAUUUGAAAAGGUAGAUAUCAAUAUAACCGAGAAAAAAAAAGUAUCAUAAUGUUUGCAUGUCUCAAUGUUUCAUUCAAAUAUGGUUAGGUAACGAUCUAUUUUCACACCAUAACUAUCAUAUAGUAACAAAUCAACAUAAACUUUGGACCUCUACCUGCU